rnacentral:lncRNA from 1 species
AUAUGUUGUAUUUAAACUUUCUCUUAUCAUUUAUAUCGGAUGAGGGUGAUGCUAAAGGUGAAUAUGCAGCCAAGAUUUCCGUUCCUGGGGCACUUAUAUCUGGUUUCAUAAUUUCUGGAACAUAACGAUUUGGGCCACGUGAAGAGAAAGUGACAACUUUAGGAGCUUUGAUGUCAUGGAAUAUCUCACUCUUUAAGAGCUCAGCGAUAGGGUCUUUGGUGGAAUUUGUGUAAUGUUGAACUCGAACAAAGUUUUUUGAUUCCAGGGUAAGUGUAGGCUUCUUAGUGACAAAUGCAGUUUCAAAACCAAGGUAUGAAACAUUAAGGAUUGAACCAAUUGCACUACUCACCGAAGCCAAUUUUUGACCUGAUCGCGAUCCACAUAAAACAAGUUUACCUGUCACCCUCUUUUUGUCUUUAGAAUUACACUUUUCUGGGGAAAAUGUAAUUCCAUCAUCAUCAUCUGAGCAAGCUUUAGCGUUACACACAACUAUUGGAAAUUUGGUGCCAUUUGAAGGUGUUAUAUUGAUUGACUUACCAAUAUACGUCUUUCCAUUUCCAAGAAUGAGCUUAGCAAUGAAUUGUCGAUCUAUGGUAGUUCCAGCAACACUAAAUAACCAAGGUGAUACACUACAAACAGUACUUGGUCUAGGGCCAGAAUUUCCUACACCCUGCACUGUGAGUAUUCCUUUCUCCAUGGCAUGAAAAGAACCAAUAGCAAUAGGGUCAAUCAAAAAAUCAUAAAAAGUAGGGACACAAAUAGAGAUAGUAAUGACAUCAACUCCAUCAUCAAUGGCAUCAUCAAAUGCAGCAAGUAUACCAACACCAGUACAUAAACCUGAUUCUUUGCAAACUUUGUAUGCAGCAAUCCUUGAAGAUGGAACUCCACCUCUUGCAAUGCCUUUUGCAUAACCAUAAAAGCUCGCACCUUUUACCUCACGUCCACCUACUAUCGAUGAUGUAUGGGUUCCAUGACCCAAUUCAUCUCUUGCACUCACAUCUCCAAUGCCGUAAAAUCGUGCUCCGAUGAUCUUCUUGUUACAAUUGAAGUCACUACCACCUGCACAAACUCCCCUCCACUUUAUUGGGAUUUGACCAAGACCUGGUCAAUUAUAAAAAAGAAUAAUUGAAUUAAUAAGCUCAUUGUGUGUGUGUGUAUUAAACAGCUAAACUAUCUCACAUAAAUUGAGAGGAGGACACUCCAUGGUCUCAAGCCAACACUAUCAUACCAACCCAAAUGUAAUCUUAUCUUUACAAUCUUCUAAUUAUAUUAUAGUAUCUUCCUAUAAUAUAAACAAUAAUAUUUUUCCAUGUCCUAAGAUACUCAUGAUAAACAACAUUAUUAAUUAAUCUAUGAAGGAAAUUAACUAAAUAUAAUAAUCACAAAUUAUUCUAAGUAAUUAAAUAUGUAUAAUUUUAAGUAGGGUGAAAUUUCGUACAUAUGAUAAUUAUUAAGAAAUAAACAAUUUAUGAUAAUUAUAACAGAUAAGAUUUAGUGAUUAUCAUUAUAAAUAUAUAUACACACCUUUAUCAUUGAAACUUUUAGAUUCUGGCCAUAUUCCACUAUCAAUGACUCCAAUCACCAAAUCACUCUCAAUAGUUUGAUAUCUUUUAAAUGAGUGAGGAAGUCCAACGAAGUCCCACGACCUUGUGGUUUGAACGUGAAAGUCUUGGUUUGGAAAAACUGAGACCACACCUCUCAUUCGGACAAGUUUUUCCCUUUCUUGAUCAUUGAGUAUGGCAGCAAAACCAUUGAAACUCCUUUUGUAACUUCGAACUAAGCGAUUUUCUAUGUCACUACCAUCCAUAACAUGUUGCAACAAGCUGAUAUGGUGAGAGGUUGGGGAAUAUGAUGCUCCCUUAGGAAGUGAGCCCAUGUACACGAUGUAAAGUUUACUACUUUCAUCGCCACUUUCAAUAGCAUCACACACUAAGGUAAUUAAUGAUGUGAAAACUAAAGGCACAAAGAUUGAUAAAACAACAGUAUGAUUUACCAUAUUUGAAAUGGGGAAUACUUAACACAAAUCCAAACAAUGUAUUUAUACACAUAAGAAAAUCAUUUAAAUGGAAAUAUUUUUAAUUGAUAAAAAAAAAAUUAAUUAGUAUACGAAAAUUGAAUAAAAAAAUUACUCCCUCCAUUCCACCCAUUUUGUAAUGCAAAAUAAUUGACCCUUUCAAUUUUCAAUACAAGAUUGAUUUUUUUCAAUUGUGUUCACUAAUUAAUAUUGCUUUUAUUAUUCUCAAUUCAAUAUCUUCUCAUUUACAUUUAUGAUAAUAAAGAAUAAACAAAUAUGUGAUUAGGGUAAUUUAUUAAAAGUGUCAUUAUCUUUCUUUCAUUUAUACACUUUUUUAAUUUAUUUUAAAUGUUCAAAUGAUCACAUAAUAACCGAUGGAAGUAGUUUAUUUUAAAGAGAAAUGUUAUAAUCAUUCUCCUUUCAACAUAUACUCUAACACUCAUUAUUUUAUUAGAUGAAAAUUAUGUUGGUCCCACCAUAUUAUGUGGACCCAUUUGUAAAGUGUUGUAUCCACAUCAGUGUCUUCUCAUCUACUCUUGUUUGUAGGUUAGGAACUUAUUCCAGCAUCUAAGGCUUUUUUUCCUUCCUAUUCUCAUCAUGGCAUCACACUACCUUUAUUCAUUUCUAGAGUCCCACUUGCAACCUUUUCUACGAGUGGUGGUUGUUCUCAUAGCCAUUCAAUCUUUUUCCUCUGCUCAUCAUGGCAUCUUGCUACCUUUAUUCCAUUAGACAACUUUUUCAUCUUCUCACCACACUACCUUUAUAUGUGCUCACGGUUUUUUAUUCCUUUCUUGUGCACCACUUUCAACUUUUUUAUGGGGCGGUGGUUUUAGAGCUAUUAAUAAAGCUUUGGCCCCACAAUGAAAACUUUAUACAUGCGUGCACAUGUAGUUUAAUCAAGUAUUCUCGGCAUCCACGGCUUUUUCCCUCUUCUAUAUGGCAUCAUGCUACCUUAAUCCAUUCAAAUUCCCAUCUUUCAACCUUAUCUUUAGGGAGGUGGUUUCUCGAGAAACUUCCAACCUUUUCCUUCUUCUCAUCAUGGACAUCACGUUACAUGUAUUCCUAUUUAUAGUAUCGCGCUACCUUUAUUUCUUUCUUCGAUUUUUCCCUCUUCUCAUCAUGGUACCUUUAUUUGUGUUCCUUGUUUUUAUAUUCCUUUCUUGUGCCGCAGUUUUAGCCUUUUAUUCACUUUUCCACAAGAAAAAAACUCAUAGUUUAGCAUUUAGAACUUGGAGCGAGUGACUGACGAAAGAGAUUAAAAUUUUAGACUUAAUUGCAUGUUUUGUCCCUUAUGUGUAUUUUAGGUUUUAAGUUGGUCCCUUGUGUUUUAAAAUUUUCAAGUUGGUCCCUUAUGUUUUAAAAGUUUCAAAUUUGUUUAAAACGUUACUUACAUUGGAGUAAGUUAGUCCCUUCUAUCACUUGACUGUUUAAAGAUUCGGGUUGAAAAUAUGGAUGAUGAAAUUUAACUUAUUUAGAAAAUCAGUUUUAAAACAUUUUUUAAUUUUUUUUUUGCUUUAUUAAAGUCAAUAUCGUGUCACAGAAGAGACUAACUUAUUGCAACGUGAGUAACGUUUUGGACCAACUUGAAACUUUUAAAACGUAAGGGACCAACUUAAAACUUUUAAAGCAUAUAGGACCAACUUAAAACCUAAAAUAAACAUAAGGGAUCAAACAUACAAUUAAGGAUACGCAAGGAAGAUAACUUGUGCAAAUUAAGAAAGUACCCAAUCACAACUGAUCAUCUAAUAUGGUGGUUUUCAUUGAACGAGCUAAUCUCUCAUAAUAAAAUACCCUUAGGUAAAUAAGAUUAAUUAAUUAAUUAAUAUUUACUGUAAUAUUACUAAAGUUUAACAAUAGUUUGAUAACUAUAUAACUAUUGAAUUUUAAAAUAUUAGUUCUAAUUGUAAUAAAUUGUAAUGCUAUUAAAUGGUCAAACAACAUUUUUCUUGUUAGUUUGGUUAAAAAAUAAUAAUUUAUUUACACUUUGAGGUAUAGUUCUUAACCUCUUAUAAAAAGUUUAAUCAUUGGGUUCAAACUUUGAGGAUGGAAAAGUGUGAUUUAGAGGAGACACUCCACCAAAUAUGUUCUAUCAAAUACAGCAAUAAAGAUCAGUCAUCGUCAAAGUUAAUGGGUAGUUUACAUCAAUAACAUGAUAAAAUAAAAAAAUAAAAUAAAAAAAUAAAAAAAAAACUCUUACAAAAAUAGUUAUAUUUAGGUAUCAGUUCAAAGGUUACAAAUGUGUGACAUUAAAUGAGUUCAUAUAAAAAAAAUCAAAGAAGUCCAUAUAAUUUUUAUACGCCCUAAAACAUUCAAAAACCUUAGUAAUUGAAAGAUAAAAUGGAUAAGACUUCAACUCGUCAGUUUAAUGAUAAAAGUUUAGCUCUGUAACUCAUAGACGAUACUUCCCGUGUUCCUUUGAGUGUCACAAUUGACCACUUAUACAUAUGAAUGCACUACUUUAACUAUAUAUAUUGCAAAAAAUUAUGAAAAAAUUAAUAUUUUGAAAAUGUUCAGAGACAAAUUGAACAUCUUAUGUGAAUAGUGCACAUGUCAAACUAUGACACUUAAAAGAGAAACGAAGGGAGUACAAUUGGAAAAUGGUUAGUAAUGUUCAAAUAUUUGUAUUGAUUAAAUUGACACCAAUAACCAUUUUACAAGUGUUUCGGGAAUUUGAACAAUAUCAUCUUAUUCAAUGAAUCUGAAAGAAAAAAAAUAUAUUUGCUAUCAUACCAGAGGGAAUAUCUAGCAACUCAAGUGUAUCAAAAUAAAAAUAAAAAAGUAUUUAUAAACACAAAAAAUUUAUAUAAAUGGAAAUUUUCAAUUAAUAAAUAAUUUGUUUAAUAACUAUAAUACAAUUGAAUUAAAAAAAUUCCCUCCAUUCCAUAGUAAAUGUCUCAUUGGUAAAACUGUGUAUCUUACCGUUUUAUGUGGAACUAACUUUAAAGAUAUGGAUCCACUGUUGAAACUACUCAUCUACACGUGUGUGUAAUUUAAGCAAGUAUUUUCCACUUUCAACCUUUUUUCAAUGGGGAUGACGGUUUUUAGAGCCAUUUCUAAAGCUUUGGACCAACAUUUAAAACUUCUCAUUUACGUAGGUGUGUAGUUUAAGCAAAUAUUUCUAGUAUCUGCGACUUUUUCCAUCUUCUUUAUCUCAUCUUGAUACCAUUAUUCCUUUCUAAGUAAAUAUUACUAGUUUUCAUCGUAUCAUUAUAUUCAAGAUGACCCAGCUGAUUUUGCCAACAACAAAUUUAAUAUAAUUUUGUAAAUUUACAAUAUUGCACUUAUAUAAGUGUAAUCAAUCCAGAUGAAAAGACAUGUAACUUUUUCACUACACUUAUUUAUAAACAAAUUUGCUAGUAAUAUAAAGAUAUUCAACAUACUAAAAAUUUAUAUUCUUUCAUGUAACAAUAUAUUUGCUCUUCUAAAGCCUUCACUAAUUUUUGUAAUGUCAAAUGUAAUAUUAAAAUUAAUUUUUUUCAUCAUUUUUAGUCUUUCAUUUACAAACAAUAUCCAACAAAAUAUACAUAAAAUUAUUGUUAUCCUUAAGGUGGUCAAGUUUUAAGAUCAAUAUUUGUUUGAGACCUUGAAAUUGUUAAGACAUACAUUUAGAAGCAAUCAAUAAUUCAAGUUUCAUUUAUGGUAUUUUUUUAACUAAUUUUUUUUUCAAUUCAACACAAUAUUGUUCUUAAAUCUUAAUCUAUUAAACAAAACAAUUAUUGUCAAAUUCACAAUUAUAAAUCUUAAUAUAGAUUGGAAAUUGUUAUGAAAUUCAUCCUUAACAUUGUAAUAUAUUUUAAAGUAUAUAUGAAUAGAGAGAAAGGAUAAAGAGAGAACAAGAGAGUAUAGUGUAUUGCUUCUCAAGUGUGUCAUUACAUUGUAAUGUAGGUCCUAUUUAUAGGACGCAUAUAGGUACAUGAAUGAUCACAUUACAAUCCACUUAAUAGUGGGAGUUACAAGCAUGUGGAAGGGUAAUGGAUGGACAUCCACUAAUAGAUAUAUUCAUAACACUCCCCCUUGGAUGUCCAUAAAGGAUAUGCCUUAUUGAAACCUUACCAGAGAAAAAUCCAAUGGGAAAAAAAUUCUAGUGAAGGAAAAAGAGUACAACAUCCUUUUGUGUCAUAAUCUGCCUCAUUAAAAACCUUAUCAGGAAAACCCAGUGGAAUAAAACCAUGGUUAAGGGAAAAAGAGUGUAUAACACGUUUUUGUCUCCCCCUCAUAAAGACAAUGAAGAAUUUUAAAUAAUCUUUCAUACUAGUUACUCAAAAUCUUUGCUUGGCGGUGACUCUGUAGAAAGAUAUAUGAUUUAUCUUCAUACUCUUAUCCAAAUUAGCGGCUCAUAAGAUAUAUUCAUAUUGAGUUGUUGAAAGAGUCUCCUUAUAAAAUUAGAAAAUCAUAAGUUUCUUGUAUGUGUGAAAUCAUAAUCCUUAACAAGGAGCAUUCUCCACUUGCUAACAUUUUCAAAUGAUCGGAUGAUACUGCUGUUUCUUUAAGAUACAAAUUGUAUGCUUGACUUUGCUGUAAUAUCUAUAUUUACUAACAAUGCCAAAAAUAAAAUACCAUGAUAUAUAUAAUAAGCAAAAUACAUUAGUUACCUGACCAAUUCUAAUUGUUCGUAAUUUUCUUGAGGACGUGAUCUUUACUCACAUCAAGUGACAUCACAAGCAUUCUAUUACAUAAUCAAUUAGAUUUGUUCAGAUCGACCUUUAUAUAACAAAUUUUAGAAUCUCAUCAGGUGUUCUAAUAAUAUUUAUACGAUUAUCAUAAAAUUGAUUAUAAGAAAUUCAUUUCCAAAUCUUUAAAAUUGACAAAUGAUGUCAUCUUUUCAAUAACUUUGAUAGUAUGUUUUACGCAAACGAAAUCAUUCAAGGAGUUUAAUAUAAUCAUCACUAUCAAGUAAGUCAUACAAAUAUAUUAUAGCAAAUCUUUCAUAUAUAAUUUAAGUUUUUCAUAUGCUACUGUAAAAAAGUUAUUGAAUUCAUUUCAGGUGAAUAUGUGUCUAAUACCCUUGCACCCUUUUCAGAAAAGGGUGAUGGUUUCUAAACACAUAUACAACCUUUUUCCGUUUCUCGUCAUCAUAGAUAUCACGCUACUUGUAUUUCUUUUAGACCUCACGCUACCUUUAUUCCUUUCUAUGAAUUUCUCAUUAUUUGAUCACGCUAAACUUACAUGUGUUCCAUGUUGUUUGUUCCUUUCUUGUGCCAUGUGUAACAUCCGGAUAUUUUAUAUACAUUAUAUAAGUUCCUUCUAAUAAUUUUCUUGGUUUUAUAAUUUAGUCAACAACUUACUUUAUGUGUAGAAUUUUUUAGAAAAUUAAUAAAUACAUAAUAAUUUAUGAAAGCUAGAAUUAUACUAUUAGAUAUGCAUUGUUUAUUUAUAGGAAUGUGUAAUUAAUCCCUAUCAACAAAGAAAAGAGACCAGACGUGUACCAUGAUUUGGAACAAUAGAUAAUGUCAUGUUUUGUAAAAUUAAGCAUAAGAUUAUCUCUAUAAAUAAUAAUCAACAUAUAAAUAUAAGAAUCAAUUAAAUAUAAGUAAAAGAGAGUCAAUAAACUUAUCUCUUUUGAGAUUGUUGUUGAAUUAGAUAUCUGACCACAACUCUAUCAACAUCUUUGAUAAGCAAAUCAAAUAGAAUCAACACCUGCAAAACAAACAAAGGAUGAAUAGUCUGAGGCUCGCUUUUCACGUUGUCCUUAAGAAUUUUAUGCAUAAUUAUACUCUAAUUCCCCAUGAUUAACAAACCCUUUCAAACAAGUCGAGGAUUCAGAACUGGCAAGUAGUAAUAGAAAAUGUAACCCAUAAUACUUGAUGGGAAUAACGUUUUUUUUUGUGUUUAAUUUUUUAUUUUUCAACACUUAUUAUGUUUUAUAGAAAGCAGUAUCUAUAAGCAUUCUCCCAAGUAUGAUCGUUCAGCUACAUUAAAUAUUAAGCACUUAAAGCACAGCAUUAGGCCUACACAACUCACAUAUAGGUUACUUGAGUAAUGAGUGUUAAUUACUUUGACUAAGCCAAAUGUCAAUAGUCAAAAUAGAAAUUAACACACUUUAAUGUGAUAAUGCAAGGUUACUGUUAUUGUUUGAGGGUUAGAUUAGACAAGUGUAUCAAAUCGUUUCACAAGUAAUAAAGUGAUAAGUGGAGUAUCAUAUUCACAUGGAUUGUCAUUUCGUCUAAACAGCUCGCGUUACUUAUUUUAAUUUGACGAUAUAAAUAAAAGAGAUAAGGGUUAGAGAUUUCAAUUUUAUCUAUUUGCAACAGAGCAAGUUGUUGGAACAAAAUGUGUUUCACAAUGAACCCUAAUAAGUUUUGAUGAUAACAAGGUAUUAAAAAUUGUCAAUUGGUUAUUGCUAAUAAUUGUUCAAGUGUACAGGACCAAAGGCUACUCAAGUUAUUUCAAUAGGUCUUGGAAGAACAAUGGAAAGAAAAAGAAAUUCUAAGCAUCUGAAGAAAACUGCGUCUGAAGCUAAAGUGCUUCUGAAGCUGAAGUGCAUCUGAAGUGAUGACGUCAUCAGAAGCAGAAGGUCAUCAGAAGCAAGGUUUUCAUCAGAAGCGAAGUCAUCACCAGAAGCUACAUUUAAUCCAUAUAUUCAAACUGAAGAUCCAAAGUAGCUGUUUCUCAUUUCAAUCUCAUCUAAGAAGAACGAAGAAUUGAAAGGAAAGUAUCAACGGUCAUUUGGACAGCGCUGAGCAUUUGUCCUUCGUUAACAGAGUUGACAAAGUACAAGUGUACAAUCACUACCUCCACUACUCUGUUUUGUCCACGCUACAAGACAAGACAACAGCUAUGUCUGCAGAAUUUGUGCCUUCAAAGUGGGAAUGAAUUUGAAGCUAAUUCUUCAAAGGACUACACCCAAAUCAGGCAAAGAAUUACUGGUGAAUGAUCAAAGGAUUUCAAACGACUCUUUAGACGUGCUAAUUAUCUCAACGUCUCUUUCACGCCUCUAUAUAAAGGAGUGAAGACUUGAAGAUUGUAGAGAGAGAUACACAAGUUAAAAAGCGCCAAAACUCUGUCAAGUUGAUUCUACAAAGCACACUGAAUUUCUGCACUGAUUUGAUACAUCUUAGAAAUUCAAAAGUCUAGAGUCUUAAUUGUAUUGUAUUGUGAACACCACUGAUUGUAUAUCAAGUGUUCAAGUCAAACUUAAUUCAUUGUAUUUUUGUUUGAUCAGAAGCCUCUUGCCUGCGUGCUUGAGCAUUAGAAGACUCUUGCUUAGUGCUUGAGCAUUGGAAGACUCUUGCGUGUGUGCUUGAGCAUUUUUUGAGAAGUCUCAUACUUAGAGAGUAUUGAGCAUUUGUAAUCUUUGUGAUUAUAGUGAAAUCUCCUUGGAAGUGCAAGGAGGACUGCUUGUGAAAGACAUUUUGAUUGUACAAAUAUAUGUUGAUGAUAUAAUAUUUGGUUCUACUAAUGCAUCUCUUUGCAAAGAAUUUUCUAAGCUAAUGCAGGAUGAAUUUGAAAUGAACAUGAUGGCAGAAUUGAAAUUCUUUCUUGGAAUUCAAAUCAACCAAAGUAAAGAAGGAGUAUAUGUUCAUCAAACAAAAUAUACAAAGGAGCUUCUGAAAAAGUUCAAGCUAGAAGACUGUAAAGUGAUGAACACUCCAAUGCAUCCAACCUGCAUCUUAAGCAAAGAAGAUACUGGAACUGUAGUAGACCAGAAGCUAUACAGAGGUAUGAUUGGUUCUCUGUUAUACCUCACUGCAUCUAGACCUGAUAUUUUAUUCAGUGUACGUAUGCUUGUGUGCAAGAUUUCAAUCAGAUCCUAGAGAAUCUCAUUUAACUGCAGUUAAGAGAAUCUUCAGGUAUCUGAAAGGAACAACUAAUAUUGGACUCCUGUAUAGGAAAUCCCUAGAUUAUAAGUUGAUUGGAUUCUGUGAUGCUGAUUAUGCUGGUGACAGGAUUGAAAGAAAAUCAACUAGUGGAAAUUGUCAAUUCCUGGGAGAGAAUCUGAUAUCCUGGGCAAGCAAAAGACAAGCAACUAUUGCUAUGUCUACAGCAGAAGCAGAAUACAUUUCAGCUGCAAGUUGUUGCACACAACUACUUUGGAUGAAACAUCAGUUGGAAGAUUAUCAGAUUAAUGCUAACAGUAUUCCCAUCUUUUGUGAUAAUACUGCUGCUAUUUGUUUGUCUAAGAAUCCAAUUCUACAUUCUAGAGCCAAGCAUAUUGAGAUCAAACACCAUUUUAUCAGAGACUGUGUUCAAAAAGGAAUUUUAGAUAUACAAUUCAUUGAUACUGAACAUCAAUGGGCUGAUAUAUUUACAAAACUUUUAUCUGUUGAAAGAUUUGAUUUUAUUAAGAAAAAUUUAAACAUGCACUUUGUGUCUGAUUGAAAAUUUGCUUGCCUCUGAAUAAGAAGUUUGGUUCUGAAGUCCAUUCAGAAGCAUUUAGUCCAUCAGAAGCUCUUAACUGAGGUUCUGAGGAAAAUGUGCUUCUGAAGAUGACGUUAGCACUAAAACUUCAGAAGCGGUAUUCUUUGCUUCUGAAUAGUUGGCUAGUGGGAACGUUGGCAAUAACCUUUUGUAACAGCUGUCCCAUUACCCAAAGGUUAUUUUUCUGAAAAGUUUCUGACGUGGUCUAUUUGUAUUGGAGUAUAACAAAAAGGGCAAUGAUGUUUUAUUUGCUUUUAAACGUACUAACACGCGCCCCCAAUUUGUCAUUAAUGCUAUGUUUGUUUGUCUCUUUUGAAUUGCAAACGUUUUGAUAAAUACACUUAAGAAAAAACACACACUACUCACUUCACAACUCACACUCUCAUUUCAUUUCAAACCUUCGCUGUUAAGAAACUUCAAAAACCCUAGAACCCUUUUCAAUCUUCAAUCAUUCAAAUGGCAUCUUCAAGUUCUGCACCUGGUUCAUCAUCUAACAUGCAACAAGAAGAGGCUCCUGCCUACGUGAUUAAGGGAAGAACCAUGUCCUUGGAGGAAUGAGAUUUAAAGAUUCAAUCAGAGAAUCCAGUAGAUUUUGCUUCUUUGGCCGCUCAUAACUGCGAUAUUGGAAGCUUCUAUGAAGCGCAAGGCUUGGGAAGCUACUUCAACUUUCUGAACGGACCAACCUAUCAAACUCUGAUUCGUCAUUUCUGGGUUAGAGCCAGUAUCUUUGAUAGAGAUGCUGCUAAGAUGGAAGAAGAUGAAAAAGUUAUUCUCUAUCCAGAACUCAAGGGUAAAUCAAGACAAGAAAUGGGCUUGGAACCAUUCACUAAAACCCAGAUACAUUCAAGCAUCAUGGGGAUACAUGUAUGGAUCAAUGAGGAUGUGAUUGCUUUCGUCCUCAGAAGACCAGCAGAAGGAGAUUAUAAGGCUGGAAUCACUAAACCCAAAGACAGCCCCUGGAAUGACAUUGUGAACAAAACACUCUACAACAAGGUCAAGGACUUCGCCUAUGCAAAUAUGAAUGCCAAGACCAAGGUGAUGCUGAAAAUUCAAAAUGACAACCUACUACCAAAAGGUGGUGGUAGUGAUCAACCUUCUCUGGAACACAAAAUCCUUUUACAUUUUUUCUUAACUAGUGUAAAGGCUAAUGUGCCCAGAUACAUCUUCAGGCAUAUGGUAGAACAGCUCAGAGAGAGCCAGCUGAAGAAUAGGUGUUGGGUACCCUAUGGAAGGCUACUCUCUGAGAUUCUUCAUCAAGGAGGAAUCAUCAAGAUGUUGAAGGAGGCAAACUUCUUCACAGAUGAACAGUUGGGAACUGUUAGAGGAAAAAUUAUCAAUGGAGAAACCUUGAGGUCCAUGUAUCUGAUUGAUGUAAAAGACCUUAAGAAGCUACCCACAGAUAUGAAGGCAUCUGAUGCCAAAUCAGCUUUGAUUCCAAACUUUCCUCCCAUCUGUAAGCAAGAUCCUCUGGACGUUCAGAUGAACUUUAUCAGAGAUCACUUUGAAAGUACAAGAGAAAAGAUCAGUCUGAAAGAUGUUCCUGAAAAAAUGUUUGGAGGUGUUCUUCCUGCUGCCAAGAGCAGAAAAUCAAAAAGCAAAUCUCUUACUAAGGAAGAGUACUUGGAAGAAGAAAAAGCAAAAAGGAAACCUUCCAAGAGAACAAGAAAAGAGACAAAUGUUGAGGUUGCAGCACCAAAGCCAAAGAAAUCCAAAGCUAGUGCUUCUGCUUCUGAACAAGCUGUUACUUCUGAACAAGCUCCUGCUUCUGAAGAAGAUGUUCAGAAACAGAAAGUCAAGAAAUCUGAUGCUAGGGAAGCUGCUCUUCAAACCAUCAGAAACAAGAUAACAAGAGAUCUAAAAACUGCUGAAGGUAGCAAAGAAGAUCAAGCUGAACAGCCAGAAGAAGAGCCAUGUGCUAAAAAGGCUAAGAAUAAGCCUAGUGUUAUGCCAAUGUAUGUUCCUACAGCAGAACAAUGGCUAUAUGCUAGGAAUUAUACUAGAACUGGGAUGACUAAGAUGAAGGAGCUGAGACAACAGAAGAAAAGAGAGGAACAACUUAAGGCUGCAGGGUAUAAGCUAGCUCCUGAGAAGGCUGCUGAGUUUGCUGCGUUGGCUGCUGAGGUUGAAAAGGAAACUGUUCAGGAGGGGGUGAAACUGCUUUCUCAAGCUUUGAAAGACAAGCAAGCUUCAGAAGCUACUUCUUCAGAACCAGCUUCUAAAGCUUCAGAAGCAGCUCUUCCAGAAGCUCACUCUUCAGGUACAUCACUAAAAACUGACAUCAGUACUCAGAUUCCUGACCUUCCUUCUUCACCCUCAUCAUCAUCCACUGAAUCAGAUGACCAACCACUUAGUCAACACAUAGAAAAACUUCUAAAUACCAAACCUACCAAACUAACAGACUAUGGAACAUUUGACUUUGAGCAAACUCAAAUUGAAUUUUCUAAGAACAAAAUUAAACUCUGUGAGAAAUUCAAUUUGCCUGCAACUCACCCACUUUAUCCAGAAAUUCCAGAAGCUGUUAGUGUACAACACCCUGAACCCAACCAAGAACCUAACCAAACAAACCCACAAAAUGACCAAACUCCACAAAGAGCCUCUGAAGUAGUUUCAGAAGCAACUACUUCAGAAAUCCCCCAACAACAAGAAUCCUCAACCCUUCACAACCUAGAAAGACAUUUAGGUGGUGAAAUGCAACCUACACCUCAAAAAGCCUCUAAGACAGUCCCUGAAAAGACUGUUUUGGAAAACCAACAAACAGAAACCCAAACAGAAACUCAAACCAUUCCUAAGCAAACUGUUCCUGAACAAGUCGCUUCUGACCAAGAACAAACUGUUCCUGAACCAACUGUUCCUGAACAGGUUGUUUCUAACCUAGACCAAACUAACACAGAACAACAACAACAACCAGAACCACCAAUAAUUGACCUAACCUCUUCUGACCAUCAAACAGUCUCAAAUAAACCUUCUACAUCUCAAACACCAAUCCCAGACACCAUCCUAGAAUCUGAGUAUAUAGAUGAUCAGCUUAUCAGGCUUAGUGAUGAGAUUCAGACACUGAUUCUUCUCAGAACAGUUCUUGUACCUCCCAUUCACUAUCAAGAUCAAUGGAUGGAUCUGAAGAAAGAUUUUAAUGAGCUGCUGGAUCAACUGAGCACAAAAUGUGUCUCAUCUCACUCUGCAAUGCUGAAGAGAAUGUUGGAUGAUAUGCAUGAAGCAGCUAGAGUGAAAGAGCUGAAUUAUGUGCCUUUGUUAGCCAACACUCCUUUCUAUCCAGAAGAUGAGUACAUUUCAAGGACUGCUAGAAUUCAUGCUGGGUUGAAAAGUAGACUGAGAGCAAAGAAUGAACAACUUCAGAAGAAGGAUGAGCAAAUUAAGUAUCUAUUGGAACAGUUGUAUAAGCAAGCCAAACCUUAGUUGCACACCCAAUUUUUGCUUGUUUAUUUUUUCCUCUAAGUAUUCUAGUUGCUUUGACUUUGUAUCUUAACUUGUCUAUUAUAAAUGUUAUCAUUGCUUCUGAAUCACACGUUUUACAAGCUUUGUACUCUGAUAAUAUUUGCUGCAUUUUAAUGUUGUUUGCUCUGAUACACUGUAUUUUAAAGUUUAUACUUUUGUUGCUAUGCUGCUCUUUCUUUUGUUUUUACUUACUUUUUGUUGAUGACAAAAGGGGGAGUAAAUGUAUAGUAUUUUAAGGCUCUGAGCCCCUUUAUAAUAACUUGAUUAAGUUUUUUUUAUGAACUUUGCUCAGAACCACUUCUAAAACCUUUUAAUACUUCUGAUAUGUUAUGAGUAUUUUUUUUACUGAAAUUUAAUUAAUAAGAAUAGAACUCAGGGGGAGCUUACAAACCUCACCUUAAAGAUCUAUUGGACUCAGGGGGAGCUUACAAACCUCUAUCCCAGAAGUCAACUUAUUAAUUAGAUUAACAACAAUUGAACAUUUUAAAUACUAUUGUUUGUCAUCAUCAAAAAGGGGGAGAUUGUUGGAACAAAAUGUGUUUCACAAUGAACCUUAAUAAGUUUUGAUGAUAACAAGGUAUUAAAAAUUGUCAAUUGGUUAUUGCUAAUAAUUGUUCAAGUGUACAGGACCAAAGGCUACUCAAGUUAUUUCAAUAGGUCUUGGAAGAACAAUGAAAAGAAAAAGAAAUUCUAAGCAUCUGAAGAAAACUGCGUCUGAAGCUAAAGUGCUUCUGAAGCUGAAGUGCAUCUGAAGUGAUGACGUCAUCAGAAGCAGAAGGUAAUCAGAAGCAAGGUUUUCAUCAGAAGCGAAGUCAUCACCAGAAGCUACAUUUAAUCCAUAUAUUCAAACUGAAGAUCCAAAGUAGCUGUUUCUCAUUUCAAUCUCAUCUAAGAAGAACGAAGAAUUGAAAGGAAGGUAUCAACGGUCAUUUGGACAGCGCUGAGCAUUUGUCCUUCGUUAACAGAGUUGACAAAGUACAAGUGUAUAACCACUACCUCCACUACUCUGUUUUGUCCACGCUACAAGACAAGACAACAGCUAUGUCUGCAGAAUUUGUGCCUUCAAAGUGGGAAUGAAUUUGAAGCUAAUUCUUCAAAGGACUACACCCAAAUCAGGCAAAGGAUUACUGGUGAAUGAUCAAAGGAUUUCAAACGACUCUUUAGACGUGCUAAUUAUCUCAACGUCUCUUUCACGCCUCUAUAUAAAGGAGUGAAGACUUGAAGAUUGUAGAGAGAGAUACACAAGUUAAAAAGCGCCAAAACUCUGUCAAGUUGAUUCUACAAAGCACACUGAAUUUCUGCACUGAUUUGAUACAUCUUAGAAAUUCAAAAGUCUAGAGUCUUAAUUGUAUUGUAUUGUGAACACCACUGAUUGUAUAUCAAGUGUUCAAGUCAAACUUAAUUCAUUGUAUUUUUGUUUGAUCAGAAGCCUCUUGCCUGCGUGCUUGAGCAUUAGAAGACUCUUGCUUAGUGCUUGAGCAUUGGAAGACUCUUGCGUGUGUGUUUGAGCAUUUUUUGAGAAGUCUCAUACUUAGAGAGUAUUGAGCAUUUGUAAUCUUUGUGAUUAUAGUGAAAUCUCCUUGGAAGUGCAAGGGGGACUGGACUACUUCCGAUUUGUGGAAGGAACCAGGAUAACUGCUUGUGUCUUUGUCUUUCUUUUCUCUGCUCUGUUCUUUUCCGCUGCAAUCUGAUUCUGAUCAUUUCAUCAGAAGCACUCACAAACUGCUUCUGAAGUUUUAUCAGAAGAAGUAUUUUUUUUUUAGAGAAAAAGAAAACACAAUUCAACCCCCCCCCCCCCCCCCCCCCUUCUUGUGUUUUUCACACCUUCACAAGUUACCUGUUUUUGGUUGCAGAAAAGGAAACAACGGUUAAGGUGUACACUUGUGGAACUACCUAAAAUUCCUAGUGUAGUUGGAUGCAAUAAUCUCCAAGAAGGCAGAAGGCAUUCCGAUGGUUGAAGAGGUUGGGUGGAAACUUGUGGAGCUACAUGGUGUAGUGGGGAGCAAGGGAAAGGGCACCGAGGUGGUUGAUGGUUAAAUUGGCAUCAUCACUUAUUUAGAGUCAAGGUGGAGAUUGUUGAGAAUUAACUCAAAAUUUGAGGAUCAAAAAUAUGGAAAAACCGAGUCUCGAUUUGGAGAAAUUGAGCCACGAUUUUUGGGUGCAGUUUUAGGAGUUUUGCUUCUGGAAAAAUUGAGCCACGAUUUGCAAAAAUCGAGCCUCGAUUUUGCUCUGAUGCAUAAAAAUAAAACCUAUUUUUAUGCGUGAGAUUUGUUUCAAUUUUUGAGGGAUCCUUUUACUAUAAAUGUAAAUCUUGUAUCAGAUGUAAACCUUGUGAGAGAGAGAGAGAGCGGGGUGCGGAAAACAAGGGUUUAGAAACAAACAACAAACUAGGGUUUAGAGAUAUUUCUCUAAGUGGGAGACACUACGGUUGAGAUUGAUUCACCUUGGGAAACACUAUUAGGAUUGAAUCUCUUGGUCACGGGAAGAGAUUGGGACUUUGGAUAGAAUUAGGUUUGAAGAGUAAUUCUUGUAACCUUUUGUUAUCUCUUUGUAAAGUUACUCAUCAUUAUAGUGGAACGGAUGGCUGCUCUCUCCCCAAACUAGGUCAAUAUUUGAAAAGAAGUUAUCUCUUCUUUUCUCCAGCUGUUUUCUAUUUUGGCUUGUGUUUAUAACUGUCACCCACUUGUUUUAGUUACUUGAUUACUUUUCUCCACACAUCAAGUAUUUUAUUGGUGUGAUUUUUCCACGAAUCCACAUCAGGAGGGAACAAAGUCAAUACUUUAUUUCCUAAGUUGGAGGUAUUGAAACUUUGUUAUCUUCCUAUGCUGGAAUAUGUGUCUGUUCAGGAGAUUAUGACUAUGAUAUCCCUUUAUCCACUAUUGAAGAAGGCAGGGAAUUCAUUUGUAAUGAAACGGUUCAGAUUUCAUUUCCACAAUUAAAGGAGUUAGUGUUUCUUGGAGUGCCGAAGCUCAAGUGUUUUUGUUCAGGAGGGUACAACUAAGAUAUGAUUUGAUUCUGAUUUUCAUUAAUUAAUUCAUUAAAAAUAUAGAUAUAGACGUUUUGCAUUAAUAAACUAUACUUAUUUUUUUCAAUAGAGCAGUGCUAUAUAGCACCAUGCCCAUUCCCCACGAAUUUGAACGACAGGCAUAAACAACACACAAUUUGCUUUGUUAUUAAGCUUGGAAUACUGAUGCUAGUUAUCCUUUUAAAAAUACAACAAUAAACUAAAUAUACUAAAACAAAAAAGCAAGCAUAAUCCAAACAAUGUUGCUACGAUCACCGUCAAAGUUGGUAUAUCACUACAGUCCAAACAGUGUUUUCUCCAAUGAGAUAAAGAUUAAAGUUUAAACAAUUGAAGAGUUUUUUUAAAUAUAUUUUAUUAUAGGAUUGAAUUUUAGUAGCACACAACACCACUAAAAGAGACACGUUUUGUGUUUUCUCAUCAAAUAAGAGAGAAAAAAAGCUGUCGUGCAACACGCAACACCAACAAUAUAACAAAUGUAAUAUAAAUUCUUAUUUUUUAAAAUGGCACAAAUAAUAUAAGAUUUUUGUAUUCAAAUUUAUUUAAGGGUAUAAUUAUAAGUAAAAAAUGAAGCUCAGACUUAUGUAUUCCCUUUAUGUUGUGUGUUGUGCAGGUGGAGUUGCAAAAAUUAGAGACAUUUAAAGAUAUCGAUGAAGACGCCUUGACAUUGUAAACUUUCACAAGCUAUUGAAUUGCAUCCCAUCCAACAUGAUGCACUUAUUCUCACAUUUGAAGGAACUAUUUGUGAUUGAAUGUGAGUGCUUAGAAGAGAUAUUUAAAUCAACCGAUCGCAUGUUGCAGUGGGAGCUAUUGUUCUUAAAAUUGUUUUCUCUUCCAAAACUGAAGCACAUUUGGAAAAAUCAUUAAUUGUCAAGGAUUCGAGUGUUUAGAAUUGUUAAUCAUCAAGGACUGCAAUGAUUUGGAAUAUGUUCUUCUGGAUGUUUCCGUGCUCACAAGCAUUCCAAAUUUGUGGUUUAUCGGUGUGUAUGAAUGCCAGAAGAUGAAGGAGAUCAUUGGGAAUAAUUACAAUCCUAUUGUUUUGACUGCAAUUUGAUCGCCUUUUUGCAGUCAUUAACAUUUCCCAAAAAUUUAAAUACUUUGCUCUUGAGGACUUUUAUCAACAUCUCUUAUUUCAUUCAAAAGCUAUUUUGUAUCUUUGCUUUGCUAAGGCCUGGUAAUUAAGUAUUUGCAAUUGUCUUUGCUAUUUAUUUUCUUUUGUACAUCUUUCCUUGCGUCGGUUAUACAUAUAUAGUCACACACACACUAUGGUUCACAUGGAAGUAUGUUAAUUUAUUAGUAUUUGGCGAAUGUGGAGGAAACAUCUUUUAUGCUUCAGCUUAUGAAAGGGUAACAACCAACUCCUUUGGUGAAAAUGUUAGCAAUGUUGUUAUCUUUGAAGUUUGAUCGCGCAAAGAAUAAGAAACUGAAGACUUAAAACAUUGGUAGUACAUAAAGAAUGAUGUGAGAUACAUGAUUCACUUAAAGUCAUGUUUUAAUCUCACCAUUCGAUUUAUAUUGAGGGUUACCACUUAUUGAUAUUAGAUAACAUUCUCACUUGAUUUGUGUCAUAUAUAUAAUAGAUAGACAAAUAAAUAAAAAUAUAGGCAAAAAGGCAGUUAGAUAGAGUGUCCAAAAGACAAACAAAUAUAACAUUUUUUAUGAGUGUUGUUAAAAAAAUAAGGGUCUUGUUGGGGCACUAGUUAAUUAUAUUUUUCUUCAUUAUUUAAUAGAAUAUAUAUAUUAAAUGUCAUUUUGAGCAAAGUGGGUUAAUUUGCUGUAUAUAGAACAUAUGAAUUGAAUGAUUAAAAAAAAACCUAUAAAAUUUGAUCGGUGGGUAAUUCAUAUUAAGAAAAAAAAAUAUUAAAAUUGUAGAAAAUAAAGAAGAAGGAAAUGGAUGCAUAGUAGAUUUAGAAUUAUAUUUUUGCUUAACUUUUUUUUUUGGCUUAAUUUUUUAUAUGCAUAACUUAAUUUAUAUAUAUAUAUAAGGGUUUGCUAGGAUACACCCACUAGUUUUUAUUAAGGUGUGUUUUAGCAAAGAUAAAACUAAAAAGUUGUUAAAUACACCUUAAGGUGAAUGUUGCUAAAACACACCUUCUUAAAAAUUAAAUGGAUGUAUGUUAGCAACUCCUAUAGGAAUUUGCUAUAAUUCACCCACUUAUUUUCUAGAAGGUGUGUUUUAGCAAGUUAUAACUAAAAAGUAGCUAAAUACACCUUAAGGUGUUGCUUGCUAAAACACUCCCUAUAAAAAUUAGUGGGUGUGUUCUAGAAAAUCUCAUAUAUAUAUAUAUAUAUAUAUAUAUAUGGAGCUGCAAAGUGAGAGGGGAUCUCAUAUUUAGGGGGAGUCCAAGGAUCCUUGCCAAAAAAUAGUAUUUGUAUAUUCCUUAUUAUCAUAAAUGUGGUGUAAAAUAGUAUUUGUAUAUUCCUUUUUUUCGAUAAGGCUAAGAGAAAAGUUAGGCAUCCGGAAAAAUCUGAAGCAUCUCAACUAGGUUGGCAUCCAACAGAAACCUCCAUCCUCUAUCGCCUUUUCAAUACGUAACAUUAUUAAAAAAAGAAAAGGGAAAAAUAUUUACAAUAAGGGGGACUAGACCAAAACCCUCAAAAGAAAAGUAAUUAUAUACAGGAAAAAAAGGGACCGAAAUAGCUAAGGAAAUCUAUUAUUAGGCAUUCCAUUCCUUUCCCUAGCAAAAUCCGCUAACAAAGAAGAAGACAACAUAGUAAACCACGUAGUAUCAAGCCUAGAAUCAUUAUUACUAAUCCUCCAGAUGUUCCAAAAAAAUAUAUAUAUAUAUUCAUUUAAACGGAGGAAGAGGACCCUGAGAGCGGGUUUUGUAAGAACCCUUUUGCAAAUUCUUUUUUUUCUUGAGACUUUGAAACUACCUCUUUAAAUGGCACCUCAUUCACAAUGGCCUUUGCUAGCCAAGUUUGCAUAAAAUCUAAGUCUUUCUGCAGCACCGGGUCUACAGGAGCACCAUUUGGCGCCACAAUACUACUGACAUCUAAAGUUUUUUCCUUGACUGGGGAUAAAAUAUGCUCUUGGUUCUCCUCCAAAUCAUUUCUAGCUAUCUCAUCAAAUACAUUCUCAAGUUGUAUGCUAAAAGUAUUAUUAGUAAUAGCAGGGCUAUGAGAAAUAGGAUUUACCAUAAUUGUCGGCGUUACAACCGGGAUGUCAUCUGUGUGGUCAAUAAUGUUGUCCCCUUGGGAUGGAGAAACUGCAUCCAUCUCCAAAGUAGCCUCCAAAGAUGCGGCCUCAAGUGGUCUUUGAACUAGAAUAUCUGAAUUUGUGGAUUGGUGCUGCGGAUGUGGGACAUUUUUUGUUUCCUCCUCCAAAGGUGCGACCUCAAUUGUUUUCUGAACGGGAACAUCUGAACUCAAUGAUUGUUGUGGGACUACUUCCGUUUCCUCAUCUACAUUUAUCGGUUCUGGAACAUUUUCUUUUGAGGAGCCAAAAGCUAUAGAGGAACCAAUGCCAGAUGGAUUAUUUUUUAUUGGUACCCAAGUAACCUUCUCAGCAGGGACUUGCUUCUUCCCCUGCACAAUUUGUUCCUUCAGUGUUUGUGUUUCCUUCCUAGGAUAAAGCCGUCUGCAAGUAGUGACAUCAUGACCUAUAUUCUGAAAGUGAGAACAGAAAUCCGGUAACCAUUCAUAGGCCACUUCGACUGUAAAGGAACACCCUUCCCUUUCGACAUCAAUUUCAUGAAAGCGCUUGCGAGAGAAAUCCAUAUCAACCAGAAUUAGUGACCGAACAAGCGCUUGGACGUCGCGUUGUCAAUCAAAAGAGGUGUACCAAUCACACUGGCAAUCUCUCGGAGUGUCUGCUCCAUCCAAUACUCCUGAGGCAAUUCAAGCAAUUGAAUCCACACCUGAGCAUGUGUGUUGCGUUGAGUAUGCUUAUUAAAAUCUUUGGACCACUCAAACAUUCGAAGGACACCCGACUUCAAGUUGACCGUGCCUGCAGCCCAGACCAUGCACAUAUCCAUAUUUGUUGCAAAGAAAAAUUCAUAGUACCCUCUUCCUAAAGACAUCAUUUUCCAUGCUCAUGUUGUCUUCCACCUCGAAUCAAAGGUUGAGGUAAAUUGCCGUUGGAAACAGCCUGGUCGAGGCUGUCAAAGUUUGUGCAAACGAAAUCACCGGAGAAGCACCUGGUGGGGGCAGUGUGACAAACCUCGCAACCUUUGGGGGCACGGCUAGAACAUACAUCUCAGCCUUCCAGUCGAACAUGGCAGCUGGGAUUGAAAUCAAACAGAAGAACAGAGAAAAGCAAUCACGUAAUGAUUAAAUUUGGUGAUCAACCACCGAAUCAAAUAUCUGCAAUUUUGGAAAGAAGAACCGAUGGAGAAAAGUCUCUCAAUUCACGAACAGUUCACAAUCAAAAGAACCUAUUCCAACAAUCGGUACAGUUUCAACAAAAUCAAUUCCCACCGAAUUUGCCAAAAGCAUAUAUAAACAUGCAAUGGAAGCAGUGCAAAAUACAAAUGAAGAAACGUGAUCCAAUUGAAAAACUAGUGAUUGAAGGAAGAAUAAGAAUUAGCAAGCCGAUUGAAUGAGCGGUGCCGUCAUGUUUCAUAGUUCUUUACAUCUACAAAGGUAACUUAUUUUUAAUAAAAGGCUAAUUUCUUCUAAGUCUAUAUUGGAAACUAAUUUCACCAUAAGCCUUGUUCUUGCAGCCAAUCUGCAAUUUCUCUUGGGUGGCAUUUACGAUGCACAAAUGUUAAAUUUAUGCAUACACAAGUAUGCCUUUUUGCUUCUGACAACAAUUCUGAACUGUUGAUAUAUUAAUAUUUUAUAUAAGGGCUGAGAUGUUUACCUGCUACUUUCAGAUGACUUUUUGCUGAAAAACUUGAAAAAAAAUGUGACCCCACCAUUUCAUUAAAUAACAUUAUUUCUUUUUUUUUUUAAAGUAGUAUUGGACUAUUCGUUUGGAACUCAUAUUCAAUAUUUGUAGUGAUUAUUUUGUUAGACUAAAAGUUAAAAAAUUGUGUUUAAUAACCGAGUGAUAUUAUUUUGAAUAAGAUGAAUUUCGAUUUGGUUAAUAAAAAUAAUAUGAAUAAUAGGCCACGAAACAAAAAAGUAAUUAAAUAUUUUUCUGAUUUAGGUGUCUCUGUAACAAAAAAAUAUAUUCAAGUGUCUCUUUUAUUAAUAGUUUUAUAGAUUAAAUUAAUUAACGAAAGACAUAUUUAAAUUCUAAGUUAACUAGCAAACAUACAUUAAUGUCAAAAUAAUUGAUUAAUUAAAGUCACAUUUUUUGUCAAAAAAAAAAAAAAAACUACAGACACAUUUAAAUACGUUUUGUUGUAAUUUUGAUAUGUUUUUAGGGUUAAUAUGUCUUUAUCCCUUGUAAUUUAGACGAGUUUCGGUUUAUCCCCUGUAAAAAAAAAGUUUAGAUUCCGUCUCUGAAAUAUGAAGAUUCUUUUAUUUUAGACCCUCAAGCAGCUGGCUAAGCAAAAUGAAUGACAUGGCACGCUGACUUGAAUCUGAUUGUGUAUAAUUGAUGAUGUGGUAUGCUGACAUGGCUAUUUUUAAUUAUUUUUAAUCCACUUGUAUUUUCUAUUAUUAUAAAAUAACUUUAAAUUACUAAAACCAAUCCAAAAUUCUUUUAUUCAUCUUCUUCAUCAAUUUGUUCAAUGUGUUCAUCACAAACCCAUAAUUUUUUAUUAAAAAAAUCAACAAAUUCAUUCAAAAAUAACCAACACACAACAACAUUAACAAAACCUACACAACAACACUAACAAAAAUAACCAAUAAUUUUUUCUCUCUCUAUUCCUUCUCUUCUCUUCCUCCCUGUUCUAUAUCCUUCUCUCUUCUUUCUCUCUACUCCCUUCUCUUCUCUCUGUUCCUCCAUGUAUGUCGCUCCAUGAACACAAAUACGACCCAGAAUUCAUAUGAAUUUGUUGCGGUGUUGUUGUUGUGUUGUUGAGGAAUCUAAAACAACAAUAAACAAAGAUCAUGUAUGCUGCAAUCAAAACCAAAUAAACCAAAAAACAAACCCAAAAAUUCGAUUGUGAAUCAACGGGAAUCAGCUAGGAUUAGAAGGGUUGUGUGUUCGAUUUGAGAAUAAGAAGAAAAUGAAGUAGCAAUAAACAUCACAAGAAAGGGGGGUUUGAAUUGUAACCCUUUUUAAAUUUUAAUUCUGAAAGGAAAAGUAAGUAAAUAUACUCAAGAGUAUUUCUUGGUAAAGUUAGAUAGGGAGAUUAGUAGAAUAAUUGUUUUUAUUUUUUUCUAUAAAUAUUAAAAUGAUUUUAAUUUAAAAAAGGAAAUUAAUGAUGUGUAACAUAAUUAAACACAUGUCAAGCAAAAAAAAAAACUAAAUUAAAUACACAGUGGUAUGCUAAAUAAGUGUCAUGUCAGCAAGUGGAGUGUGCCAAAUGGGGCCAAUGGCAUUUUUGAAAGAAUCUUCAUAUUUUAGGGAUGGAAUCUAAACUUUUUUUUACAGGAAGAUAAACCGAAAAUCACCCAAAUUACAGGGGGUAAAGACGUAUAACCCUAUUUUUUAAAUAAUUUUUUUGAUACAUUUAAAAAUUAUUGAAAUAAUUUUACAAAAAAAAAAAAAAAAAAAACUAUUGUAGAAACACAUCACACGUUUAAAGAACUGUUUUUUUUUUAAGAAUAAUGAAUCUAUUUCAAAAUAAUAAUUAAUCUAACUUCGUUUUGGCUUUACCUUAACCAUUUUUACUCAAAAUAAAAAACUUAAUCAUUUCGCUAGAGGACAAGUUAGUAUAAGAUAGUAUAUUAAAGAGUUAACAGUGCUUUUCACCUUUGUAAUAUAUGUCAUUUUCAAUUUUCGCCCCUAUAAAAUUUUCGAUUUGAUUUACAUCCUCGUAAAAUAUUUUUUUUCCGAAAAACACCCUUACUAGGUCAUUCAAAAACCCAAAAUUUCUUGAAAUUUUUUUCUGAAAAUGGCCUAUUAAGGGUGUUUUCCGGAAUUUUUUUUUACGAGGACACAAACCAAACCGAAAAUUUUAUAGGGGCGAAAACCAGAAAUGACAUAUAUUACAGGGGUGAAAAACACUAUUAACCCUAUAUUAAAAGCGGGUUAAAGGUGUUUUACCCCCUGUAAUAUAGGUCAUUUUCGGUUUUCCCUCCUGUCAAAUAUUUUUUCUGAUUUACCUCCUGUAAUUUAUUUUUUUUGGAAUACCUCAUAAUAGGUCAUAAAAAAAAACAAUUUUUUUUUUUGCAGAAAUUUUUUGUUUUUUUAUGACCUAUUAGGGGGUAUUCCAAAAAAAAAAAAAAUUACAGGGGGUAAAGCACCAUUAACCCAUUAAAAGCUGAAUCCACCCAUUCGUACCGCUUUAUGUCAGAAAUUUUUUUAUAUAAAGAAACUGGAAGACUGGCUACAUAAGGUUUUGGAGGCAUUUAUGUAUCAUGCACAAAUUUAAUAGUUGUGCGUUGUAAACGCCACCUUUUUUUGUAUAUUACUUUUUAAUAUAAUGUUGCAUGCAUAUAUUUUUAUAUUAAUUUGUAUGUGUUUUUAAUUAUUUUUUUUAUAAUGUACAUUUAUUGUACUUUGGUUUUUAAUAUUGAGAGUUCUAAGUUGAAUGUAUGCAUCAAGCUUAAAACGAUUUUAGUAGGAGUGAUUGANAUAUAUAUAUAUAUAUAUAUAUAUAUAUAUAUAUAUAUAUAUAUAUAUAUAUAUAUAUAUAUAUAAACCCAAAAUGGUCAUUUGUGUCACUUGAUUAAUAAUUAUUUUUUCAUUGUAAACUAAUGACAAAUUAAUUCAAGAGUUAUUAUAUCAUCAUUGUGUUUUCGGUGUUCAUUUGUUUUGUGCAAAUUCUUUUUUUUUUUUUGUGUUAUCUAUAUUAAAUUUUGAAUUAUUAUAAAAAAAAUCAACAUGAACAACUAAAGAUAUAGAGAGCAUCAUAAAAGACUAAAUAAUCAUUUAUUUAGUUUUCCAUGAUAAUAACAUGGUUGACUAUAAAGAUAAUAUUUGCACAAUGAUGGGACUCCUGACAUUGUGGAUUCCAUCUGACCAAACAAGUGAUGAGGAAAACACAGUUUGAUUUGAUUUUACUCUUCCAACAACAAUAAUAACAAAUGAUUGUUUCUCAUUUAAUGAUUUGAAAGAGAGAAAUUUUGGUUCCACACUAAUCUUGAUUUUCGGAUCAUGAUGGCUGAGAGUAGCUUUGUAGGUUGAGUUAGGAAAGCCAACAUUUGUGACUGUUCUAUGAACCUUUACAUUGAAAUGCUUAUGUGCAGGAAUAACCAUUGCAGGAUAGUUUAUAUCUUUCACCAAUGAUCUUUCAGGAUCUUCAUGGCAACUUGAAUUAUCUCCACUUAUCUGUUUAAUUUUGUCAGAACCAUAACCAUAAUUACAAAGCAUUUUCACAUAAUCUUGCUUAGUGAUGUCAUAAACAAGUCCAGGGUGAACGGCUUGUUGUGGAUUGAUAUUACCAGAUCCAUAAGCAAAUUCACCAGCCAUAUCAUCAUAAGUACUUUUCAUUGUUGUAGCAGUUGUCAUGAUAGCGGAUUUUAUAGAUGCAGGUGACCAAUCUGGAUGAAAUGAUUUCACAUAUGCAACAACUCCAGCAGCAUGAGGGCAUGCCAUAGAGGUUCCAGAUAAUAUGUUGUAUUUAAACUUUCUCUUGUCACCUAUAUCCGAUGAGGGUGACGUUAAAGGUGAAUAUGCAGCCAAGAUUUCCACUCCUGGAGCACUUAUAUCUGGUUUCAUAAUUUCUGGAACAAAAGGAUUUGGGCCACGUGAAGAGAAAGUGACAACUUUAGGAGCUUUGAUGUCAUGGAAGAUCUCACUCUUUAAGAUUUCGGCUAUUGGGUAUUUGGUGGAAUUUGUGUAAUGUUGAACUCGAAGAAAGUUUUUUGAUUCCAAGGUAAGUGUAGGCUUCUUAGUGACAAAUGCAGUUUCAAAACCAAGGUAUGACACAUUAAGGAUUGAACCAAUUGCAC